GAUGAACGCUGGCGGCGUGCCUAAUACAUGCCAGUCGAGCGAACAGACGAGGAGCUUGCUCCUCUGACGUUAGCGGCGGACGGGUGAGUAACACGUGGAUAACCUACCUAUAAGACUGGGAUAACUUCGGGAAACCGGAGCUAAUACCGGAUAAUAUAUUGAACCGCAUGGUUCAAUAGUGAAAGACGGUUUUGCUGUCACUUAUAGAUGGAUCCGCGCCGCAUUAGCUAGUUGGUAAGGUAACGGCUUACCAAGGCAACGAUGCGUAGCCGACCUGAGAGGGUGAUAGGCCACACUGGAACUGAGACACGGUCCAGAGUCCUACGGGAGGCAGCAGUAGGGAAUCUGCCGCAGUGGGCGAAAGCUUGACGGAGCAACGCCGAGUGAGUGAUGAAGGUCUUCGGAUCGUAAAACUCUGUUAUUAGGGAAGAACAAAUGUGUAAGUAACUAUGCACGUCUUGGCGGUACCUAGUCAGAAAGCCACGGCUAACUACGUG
rnacentral:rRNA from 1 species